GACGAACGCUGGCGGCGCGCUUAAUACAUGCAAGUCGAGCGAGAACCAGGGCUUCGGCCCUGGGGACAGCGGCGAACGGGUGAGUAACACGUGGGUAAUCAACCCCCGACACCGGGAUAGCCCAGGGAAACUUGGAUUAAUACCGGAUGCCCCAUCUGGCUUUCGAGCCGGCUGGAAAAGGGUAGCUUCGGCCUCCGGGCGGGGACGAGCCCGCGGCGGAUUAGCUUGUUGGUGAGGUAAAGGCCCACCAAGGCGACGAGCCGUAGCUGGUCUGAGAGGACGAUCAGCCACACUGGGACUGAGACACGGCCCAGACUCCUACGGGAGGCAGCAGUAGGGAAUCUUGCGCAAUGGGCGAAAGCCUGACGCAGCGACGCCGCGUGAGGGAAGAAGGCCUUCGGGUUGUAAGCCUCUUUCAGGAGGGACGAAGCCACUCGGGUUAAUAGCCUAGAGGGUGACGGUACCUCCAGAAGAAGCCCCGGCUAACUACGUGCCAGCAGCCGCCGUAA
rnacentral:rRNA from 1 species